CGUGUAGGCGGUCUGAUUAGUCUGAUGUGAAAGCCCUGGGCUCAACCCAGGAAGUGCAUUGGAUACUGUCAGACUUGAAUACGGGAGAGGGUAGUGGAAUUCCUAGUGUAGGAGUGAAAUCCGUAGAUAUUAGGAGGAACACCGGUGGCGAAGGCGGCUACCUGGACCGAUAUUGACGCUGAGACGCGAAAGCGUGGGUAGCAAACAGGAUUAGAUACCCUGGUAGUCCACGCCGUAAACGAUGAGUACUAGGUGUUGCGGGUAUUGACCCCUGCAGUGCCGCAGCUAACGCAUUAAGUACUCCGCCUGGGAAGUACGGUCGCAAGACUAAA
rnacentral:rRNA from 1 species